CAGUCGCCACGGGAAUACGAGGGGGGCAAGCGUUGUUCGGAAUUAUUGGGCGUAAAGGGCGCGUAGGCGGUUUGGCAAGUCUGGUGUGAAAUCUUCGGGCUCAACUCGAAGUCUGCAUCGAAAACUGCCGGGCUUGAGUAUGGGAGAGGUGAGUGGAAUUUCCGGUGUAGCGGUGAAAUGCGUAGAUAUCGGAAGGAACACCUGUGGCGAAAGCGGCUCACUGGACCAUUACUGACGCUGAGGCGCGAAAGCUAGGGGAGUAAACAGGAUUAGAUACCCCAGUAGUCCCUGUCUCUUAUAC
rnacentral:rRNA from 1 species